rnacentral:lncRNA from 10 species
GCCGCCGCCGCCGCCGCCUCCUGCACGCGCCUCGAGAUCGCGCGCUGCACCGCCCACUGGAAGGCGCGCGUCAGCCGUCGUCUGAGGUCCUCCAGCAGCGGGCUGGCGGCGAGGGCCUCCUCCUGGAUGUCCGUGCUCCUGCCGUCCCCGAAGAAGUCGCACGCGGGACGAGGUGGGAACCAAAGCUCCGCUCUACCUGGGAGUCCCUGGAGCCCCUGGGAAAUUCUCUCUCUGCAGCGGCGGAAGUCCCCGGGGCCCAUCGCGGAGACGCCUGGUCACUGCUCUACCGCUGCUGCUGAAACACAGGCAAAGCAAAUUGAAGAAUUGGAGCACUGAAUAUAACAUCCACAGACAUUUGAAUUAGAAAAUGUAUUAAUUAUUUAUUGCUGCAUAACAAAUUACUCCAAAAUUCAAUGGUU